rnacentral:rRNA from 1 species
AUGGCGGCCGAGAAGCUCGUCACCUCCGUGGACUUCGAGGACGACAUGAUCACCGCGACCGUCACGUCCUCCGGCGACGCCGUCAAGGCCUGGCUCCGCCAGAUCCGCUACGUCUACCGCUGGGUCUACCACAAGCUCAUCCUCUGCGUCGGCCGCCGCUGCCUCGUCUUCCAGCUCCUCCACGCCGACUUCGUCCCGCGGGCCCUCCACCGUUUCCUCGCCAACCCGGACUUCCGAUUCGUCGGCGUCGGCGUGCAGGACGACGCCGGCCGCCUCAGCAACGACCACGGCCUCGAGGUCGCCAACGCCGUCGACCUGCGCGACCUCGCGGCCGACGAGAUGCGCAGGCCGUGGCUCCGCCAGGCCGGGCUCAAGGACGUCGCGGGCGUCGUCAUGGGGGCCAACCUCAACAAGCCGCGCAGGGUCAGGAUGGGGCCGUGGGACGCCUGCCGCCUCUCCCAAGAGCAGAUCCAGUACGCCUGCAUCGACGCCUUCGUCUCCUUCGAGGUCGGCCGGAAGCUCCUCACCGGCGACUACUCCUCCUCCGACGAGGAGGACUACUGA